rnacentral:sRNA from 1 species
UGGGUGACCAGCACUACUCCUUCUACAUUGAGACCUUCCAGACCAGCUCUGAACUUGUGGACUUCUUGAUGGAGACCUUCAUCAUGUUCAAGGACCUCAUUGGAAAGAACGUGUACCCUGGAGACUGGAUGGCCAUGAGCAUGGUUCAAAACAGGGUCUUCCUGAGAGCUAUCAACAAGUUUGCAGAAACCAUGAACCAGAAGUUCCUAGAACACACGAACUUUGAGUUCCAGGCCCUAUUCAGGAUGCUGGUCCUUGGUGUCUGCAUCAGUUCAUGUGGUCAGGGAAGACCAAGAGAGUUUCAAAUUCAAAUCAGCAAGAAUUUUUGUUUAAGAGCAAUUCUUAUGGGCCCAGACUAUUGCAACAUGCUUCAAGGAACUCAGAAGCAAAGAACACUGCCCUACCCUCAAGGAUCUUGGAAUCUUGAUAGAAGGCUAUACAAAUCCAUCUUCCAGCAUCCAGGCUUUUGAAGAGAGUGACUAACUUUAUUGGGCAUCUACUUAGAAAAUUUUGAUUCUCAUCAUAAUCUUGUCAGGUUGGGAUAUACCCAUUUCACUGGUGAAUAAACUGAGCUUCAGAGAAUUGAUUGACUUUUCUGUUAAAGGUCAUCUAACCAAUAAAUGGGGCUGCUGCGAUUCAACCCCAGGCCUGUCUGCAAAGCACAUCCUCUUU